UUUUAUCAAUGUGUAGUGAAAAACAGGGCAUCUUGGACCUGUAAACCACACUGAAAUGAGAAGGGUGGAAUUGCUUGCUGCCUGCUGAAGAGACGAACCCAGCUGCUGCUGUUGUAACACAAUGCUCCCCUUUCUCAGAAAUACUUGCUGGCAAUGAAAAAAGAAGAUGCUGCCCAGGCCACCUCUGCUGGGAAAGCUUUAUGUUGUGCAAGAAGGGUUCAGAUUUGGCAAAGAGAAAUGGUCUUCGGCUCUACCUUCUCACAUUGCCUCUGCUCGCUCAUGAUGAACUAUGCCCCUAUAGACAGUAUGGACAGAACUGUUUUGAACUGGCCAAACCAAGAUGGGCAAGAGAAGUCCUUCAGCUAUCUUAGCUGAUGUUUUCCUUUCCGGUGCUGAUGACUGAGGAGAAUCUGAGACUCAUCUUCCCAAACGGCUGAAUAUUUGUCUCCAAGUAGCUUAUAUUCCUACAGCUUAAUUGAAGAAAGGACCCGAGGACCCUACAUGAUUUCAGGACCACACCUCUUCUGUGGCUAAUUGUAGGAAGGUUUAUGCGGAUCUUCAGGAACUAAAAAAACCCAAAACCAAACCAACCAAACAAAAGCAAAUAGAGAGAGGAAGGAAGAGUAUGAGGAGUUUAGAGAACACAAAGAUUUUAUAGUCAAAAAGUAAAAAUACCUCAAAAUGCAAGGGCUUGGAUUCAUAAGCAUAUAUUUUAGACAAAUCAAUAUUAUUCAAUGUGUCUUGGCACAAAGUUCUGUGUUAUAGAUCACUAUUGAUAUUGAUUUUCAUCUACUUUUCUCUUUAAUCCAACUUUUAAAGGAAGAAAGAAGUUGAGGUGGAGAAUAGGGAAAUUAGAGGGUAACAAACAUUUUUACUGCUUUACUACUCGAUACACUGACCUAGUCAUGGCUAAGAUGAUUGAAAUAAUUCAUUAGUAUACAUUGAUUUUAUUUUAUUUUUUUUUUUAAUUCAACCACUAUUGGACACAAGCAAAAUCUGUGUGUCUUUAUGAAGAGAUAAACUUUCCAGGUGUACAAGUGGACUGGUUUGGUUGGUUUUGGGAAUGCGUGGUGUAUUGUACACAAAUACACCAAGUGGUACACUGGGUGUGGAGAACAGCCUGCUCUUAGCCUACCAGAAAUGAUGUCUUGCAGAUAGGAGUCACCAAAAAGCUUCUGGCAAGCAUCUUAAAUUAUUCAGUACAGUACAGCUGUCUUGGAAGAUACUGAUGAUCAGCAUUCAGCCAUCCACCACCUCAAGUCAUUACCUGUGCAAGAAGGUGCAAUAAAAAUCUGUAUUGACCUACAGGGAUGUUGGAAGAGGUGGACUUCUGCCUUAAAUUACUGCUAACCUGGGUAGGAGAAAAUGGGAUCCCCCUGGGACAGAAGCAAUGGCACCUCUGCAGGCAGCAGUGCAGCAACCAGGGCUGGCUGGGUGAGGCACUGUGCAGGCAGCUGCCUGUCUGCCCCACGUGUGGAUUUCAAUAUGAAAGACACACAGAUGUGUGUGUGCUGCAAGGUCCAAAAUCACAAGCAUCAGUUGUUGUUUGCUGAUAAUAUAAGCAGCCCUGCACUGCUUUUUCUCUUGGGCAAGAGUGCGUGUGUGUAUCUGUGUGUGUACAUAUAUAUAUAAAAAUACAUAUAUGUACAGGUAUGCAUAUCAUCGAAAUGAAACCAGUACAAUCUACAAUCUCGGCUUUGAUGUUAACGCAGUAAAACAACAUAUUUUAUUUGAAAUAGCUUGUGAAUAAAUAUUGUUUCAGGCAUCAUAUAACAAGCGAACUUGAAACUGCUACGCACUGUUGCAUUGAGGUUCUGUAUAAUUAGGUCAGUGUUAUAGCUAAAGGGAGGAGGAGCCAGUUCCUAAUGAUGCAAAAUACUGAAGUUUUGAAUUGUCAAGCGUUUAUCUGGGGUAACAGAGAGUUACCUCCAUCUGAUGUUAAAGGAGAUCUGUUCAAUGUGUAAGUUGUUUCUGGAGGGAGCCCUAUGUGACAAAACAAUGAUUUGCUAUCAUCUGCUUGCUUGGAGUAAACUCUGAAAGUAAUCCAGAUGAAGAAAUGGUGGGUAGAGAGUAAAUCUCCCUGAAGCGGAGAAGGCAGUUUGCAGCAGAGCUUCAGCUUUCAAGUUUAACAUCUUUGCAUAUGCAUCAGAUGCUCCCGGGAAGGCUGACACUCAGAAACGGAGUUGUAAUUAUUUGUUUUGGAAAUUAAGUUAUGUGUUAAAGAACACAUGCACCUCAGGACUUCUAGCUCUAACAGCUACUUAGGUUUCAGUAAACCAAGUGGAUAAAUGAACUAAGUGAAACUGAGAAGAAAACUUCUGACUCACAUCCUCUCUCUCCUGACUGUAAUAAGAAAUGUCUUGAAAGCAAAAUGUACCAUUUUAUUUUAUCAAUAAACUCCCCAUAGAGUUUA